rnacentral:rRNA from 1 species
GUGGGGAAUAUUGCGCAAUGGGCGAAAGCCUGACGCAGCGACGCCGCGUGUGGGAUGAAGGUCUUCGGAUUGUAAACCACUGUCGGGAGGGACGAAGCUCUGACGGUACCUCCAAAGGAAGCACCGGCUAACUCUGUGCCAGCAGCCGCGGUAAUACAGAGGGUGCAAGCGUUGUCCGGAAUCACUGGGCGUAAAGGGCGCGUAGGCGGCCCGGUAAGUAGGGGGUGAAAUUCUGCGGCUUAACCGCAGGACUGCCUCCUAAACUGCCAGGCUUGAGCACGGUAGAGGCUGGUGGAAUUCCCGGUGUAGCGGUGGAAUGCGUAGAGAUCGGGAAGAACAUCGGUGGCGAAGGCGGCCAGCUGGGCCGUUGCUGACGCUGAGGCGCGACAGCGUGGGGAGCAAACAGGAUUAGAAACCCCAGUAGUCC